rnacentral:misc_RNA from 1 species
GUUGAAGGAACGCAGCGAAAUGCGAUAAGUAGUGUGAAUUGCAGAAUUCAGUGAAUCAUCGAAUCUUUGAACGCACAUUGCGCCCCUUGGUAUCCCGAGGGGCAUGCCUGUUCGAGCGUCAUUUCACCACUCAAGCCUGGCUUGGUGUUGGGCGACGUCCUCUUUGGGGACGCGCCUCGAAACGCUCGGCGGCGUGGCACCGGCUUUAAGCGUAGCAGAAUCUUUCGCUUUGGAAGUCGGGGCCCCGUCUGCCGGAAGACCUGCUCGCAAGGUUGACCUCGGAUCAGGCAGGGAUACCCGCUGAACUUAAGCAUAUCAAUAAGCGGAGGA